UUCAUGAUAGAGAGAGAGAGAGAGAGAGAGAGAGAGGUAGAGACACAGGCAGAGGGAGAAGCAGGCUCCAUGCCAGGAGCCCGACGUGGGACUUGAUCCCGGGACUCCAGGAUCGCGCCCUGGGCCAAAGGCAGGUGCUAAACCGCUGAGCCACCCAGGGAUCCCCUAAAGGUAGUGUUCUUAUAAAAAUAUAUAUAUAUAUAAAAGCUUUCUUCUUUUCUCUCUGAUCUCAACUAUGAGGAUAUAAUGAGAAGAUCUGCAAACCAGCAGGCAGGUUCUCACCAGACAUGGGAUCUGCCAACACCUUGACUGUGGACUUCCCAGCCUCCAGAACUGUGAGAUAUAAAUGUUUAUUGUUUAAGUCACUGAGUCUAUGGUAUAUUUGUUAUAGAAGACUUAACUGAGACAAAAGUGGCAUACAGUUAGGUUUUAGAGCACCUAAUACAGAGCAUAGAAAAUAUCAGUCCUUGAAUAAAUCAAUAAAUCCAAAAAGAACACCAUUCUCUAAAUCUGCUUUGCUCACUGCUUUGCUGUUACAGUUCUCUCACUGGGAAUUCUAUUUUGCUCCUUCCCAUUUCACAUUUAGCUGAAGGCAGGCCCUCCUUUCAUGGUCCACCUCAAGUCCACUUCAACAUUCCUUCCUUACUCUUUCCUUCCCUAUUCCUAUUGCACUUAUAAAACUAAUUUGUAUGCUACGGCCUGAAUGUUUGUGUACCUAUAAAAUUCAUAUGUUGAAAUCCUAACUUCUAAAGAGGGUGGAAUUAGAAGUGGAGCCUUUGGGACAUGCUUAAGUCAUAAGAGUGGAAUCUUCAAGAAUGGGAUUGGUGCUUUAUAAAGGGGGCUCCCAAGAGACCCUUAGCCCAUUCUACUACGUGAGGAUAUAACAAGAAGUCUGUGACCUAGAAGAGAACCCUCACCUGACCAUAAUGACAGCUUAAUCUCAGACUUCCAACCUCCAGAACUAUGAGAAAUAAAUUUCUGUUCUUUAUAAGCUACCCAUCAGUGGUAUUUUAUUAUAAUGGCCUGAAUGGACCUACACAUUUAUACCUCACAUAUUUAUGCAAAUAUCUAUUUUUGCAAUUAGCUGGAGAGACCUGAGAAGAUGCAUGUUAUACUUAGUUUUGAACUCUCCAUAACAGUCUGGUACAAUCGUUGCCUCAAAUAAGCGUUCAAUAAGUCUUUGUUGAAUUUCUUAACAUUUUCAGAAUAAAUCUCCUAGGAUUCUUUACUUUAAAAAAUCAUAUAACCUCCCUCUAAACUCCUUGUUAUUUAUGCAUUUUCAGACAAGGCUGGAUUUUUCAUGUAGAUGCAACUGGGAGGAUGGGCCUGAAGUUUGAAAUGUGCUUUUAGUAGUAGACCCUUUUUCCCUGGUCAAAAAGAGUACUCUAUUGGAUUUUGUCAUGUGAUGCAUUAAUUGAAAAGUAGACCUCCAAAAUGACCAGUUGAGCUAUGCUGGGGUUCAAUCAUGCACAGAUAAGUGACUACUAACUGCAAGACAUUUACUUAAUUUCCUAGUACAUAUGAGCCUUUCCAUUGUGCACAAUGAACUAAAAGCUGCUGAACACAAAAUGUUUCUUAUCUAAGUAACACCAGUGCCAUCUGCAGGAAAAGCUCAAGCAGUAGUUGUAUUUUUAUUCAUGUAUUUCUCUUUAGUACCAUCAGAAAGCUUUGUCAUGCUUUUACCAGAUGACAAACUUUACAGGGUUCA
rnacentral:lncRNA from 1 species